rnacentral:rRNA from 1 species
GUGUCAGCAGCCGCGGUAAUACGGAGGGUCCGAGCGUUAAUCGGAAUUACUGGGCGUAAAGCGUGCGCAGGCGGUUUGUUAAGCCAGAUGUGAAAUCCCCGGGCUCAACCUGGGAAUUGCAUUUGGAACUGGCGAACUAGAGUCUUGUAGAGGGGGGUAGAAUUCCAGGUGUAGCGGUGAAAUGCGUAGAGAUCUGGAGGAAUACCGGUGGCGAAGGCGGCCCCCUGGACAAAGACUGACGCUCAUGCACGAAAGCGUGGGGAGCAGACAGGAUUAGAUACCCCCGUAGUCC